rnacentral:rRNA from 1 species
CGGAGGGUGCGAGCGUUAAUCGGAGUAACUGGGCGUAAAGGGCGCGUAGGCGGUUUACCAAGUGAGUUGUGAAAUCCCUGGGCUUAACCUAGGGUGUGCAGAUUAGACUGGUGAACUGGAGUGCAGUAGAGGGUGGCGGAAUUUCCGGUGUAGCGGUGAAAUGCGUAGAGAUCGGAAGGAACACCCGUGGCGAAGGCGGCCACCUGGACUGAGACUGACGCUGAGGCGCGAAAGCGUGGGUAGCAAACAGGAUUAGAUACCCUGGUAGUCCACGCUGUAAACGAUGAGAACUAGAUGUUGGCCUGCGCGAGCGGGCGAGUAUCGAAGCUAACGCGAUAAGUUCUCCGCCUGGGGAGUACGGCCGCAAGGUUA